GGGGCCGCAAUGGUUUCGAUUAGGUAGAAUCAAGGGGAGUGUGCGUGCAGGAAAGAUACAUCCUUAAAAGUUCAAAACAAUUUAAUUGCCAAUAACAACGACAAUUUCGAAUACGCUCUAGCAGCGUAAUCAGGUGGAUUCCGGUGGCCAUCUUCUCAAAACCGGAUAAGUGCGUGAUAACUGUAGCACCGACAGCCAUAAAAUAAGUUUAGCUUGGACGCCAAAUUAAGAGAUUAAAAAGAUUUUGGAUAGUUUGUUAAUUAACGAUAUAAUUAACUACGCAUGUGAACGACACAAACUAAGACUGUUGCGGGCAUGGGUUCGACUCCUGCCGGCUCCACCA
rnacentral:tmRNA from 1 species